rnacentral:misc_RNA from 1 species
AACUUUCAACAAUGGAUCUCUUGGUUCUGGCAUCGAUGAAGAACGCAGCGAAAUGCGAUAAGUAAUGUGUAUUGCAGAAUUCAGUGAAUCAUCGAAUCUUUGAACGCACAUUGCGCCCCUUGGUAUUCCGAGGGGCAUGCCUGUUCGAGCGUCAUUAUAACCCCUCAAGCUCGGCUUGGUGUUGGGGCCUGCCGCACGGGCAGCCCUUAAAAUCAGUGGCGGUGCCAUCUGGCUCUAAGCGUAGUAAUUCUUCUCGCUAUAGAGUCCCGGUGGAUGCUUGCCAUUAACCCCCAAUUUCAAUGGUUGACCUCGGAUCAGGUAGGGAUACCCGCUGAACUUAAGCAUAUCAAUAAGCGGAGGCU